UAGGACUGUCCUUUCAAAUGAAGCCCUGUCAUCACUGCAUUAGCUCUACAAGUAUCUGUGGAGCUUAGUGUUUGCAUGGGACACUCUAUCCUUUGGAGUCAGGUGCUGACUGUCACAGGGCCAUUAACUGUAGAGCAAAGUGUUGGCAGUUACUUAUCUUGAUGCAGAGCAGGAAAAUCAAAGUAAAUAAUUAACGUAACACAGAUCCACCUGAAGCGGGAGGAAGGUACAGGAACUGAUGAACAAAUCUCAGUUUGCUAAGAAGCAAAAGGAACAGAGCCCACCAUUGCCUUGGUGGAUUAUAAAGGCUGGGGGAUUGGCCUCACCUGCAGCUCCAACGGUUGGUACCCAAAGCCCAAGGCUCUCUGCCUGGACAGUGAAGGGAAAGUCUGAAGUAAGCAGUUAGACACUACAAUCAUGGAGACCAAGGCAGGGAACUUCAGUGUUUCCAGUUCCAUUACAACAGAAUCAAGAGUUGACCAUAAAGUCUCUUGCAAAAUCAUCAAUGAACUGCUAGAGAUGGAGAGUGAAUUGAGAAUCCUGAUUUCUGAUGCCCUUUAUCCUACCACUUUCCCUUGGCUACCCUUCCUAAUCAUUCUGUUGCUUCCCAUCUGCCUUCUUUGUUCUAAGUGCAAAGAGAGACGUAAGUAUUUUAAAUCUGUCAUUUUCUUAAUGUCAUUUAACUGUAGAUGUGAACUGUUACAGAAACCUUCUUUUUUUGUACCUAUGUUUAUAAAAAUGAGUGGUGUGUUUUUGGAUACAGAGAAGAAAUGCAUACCGGUUAAAUCAAUACGUAUUUACUACAGCCAGUAAUUGCUCUUUAAACUGCUAAAAUGAGUAUAGUUUAAAAGCUGCUUCAGGCAAUCAGAGUCACUUCCCCAACAGAUAGUUGGGAAAUUUAAUGUGGUUUACAUUUUAAUGUUGAUCUACCUGCUUUGGACUUAGCAAAUCAAGAUGGAAAUCAAAAUGCCAAUGUAUUGCAUUUUGUAAUUCAUUUUUUCAACCAGAAAUACAUUAGAGGAAAGUCUACCCCCAAAAUACACAUAUUAGUGAAAAUAAUGCAUCAUAUUAAAGGAAAUUGCCUUCAAAAAUGUGUGUAUUAGGAGAAAUAAGGACUGAAAUGUUGGUGAAUUUUCAUAAAGA